GAAAACAACAAUUAAGACACAACCAUACAAUAGAUUAACUAACCAGUCAAGCGAAUACACAAUAAUCUCACACACCAAUUAAAGAGAAGACAAGGAAGAGAUGAACUAGAGCAAAAAGAAGUGAUAUGUAACACCCCCACCCAAAUUUAAAUAUUCGUUUAAUUUAUUUAAUUUAAUAAAUUACGAAAUUACAUCGGGGUAGGGUUAUUUUGGUCACUUUUUAAUCUAGAAGAAUUUUGGGGAAAUGAAUGGCACUACGACAUAGAUCGUGCCGAGAUGAGUACGUAAACAUGUAAUGGGCUCAAAUCAGAGUUUUAACGAAGAAGUUAUAAUCAAAAGAAGCUUAGUGGCAAAACCGUAAAUUUUUCAAAAUGGGUUUUUUAAAUGAGAUUUUUCCUCUUCCGUUCCCCUCUCUCUCCCUCCCCUUCUCCCAUGCUUACGAGCGAUCGUACCCCCUCCCCCGAUUAGAUUUUCCUUUGUCGCAUCCACAUCCAACCACUGUUGACGACGGGACCGGUCCCAAACAAACCGGUCUGGCGUCCUGUCUUGUUCCACCCCUCCGCCACAUCUGCUGUCAGGCCAGGCGGCUAGAAAUUGCCAGAAAUUGAUAGGUUAUUAAGUAAUUUUUUCGAUGCUAGUUUCGGCGAUUUCGACCACCAAUUUCUUCGAUCUAUGUAUGCUCUUUCAUCUUCUCAAUUUGUUCUAGCUGAUGGUCAGGUUGAAUUGGAUUGAUUUCUACGCUUUGGAUUUCAAUUUAUCGCUUAGAGUUUUGGCUGGUUUCGACUCGUGAUUCCAGCAAUUUUUGGUCAUUUUUGGCAUUGGCCCAGAGCAAAAGUCGCUCC
rnacentral:lncRNA from 1 species